rnacentral:rRNA from 1 species
UAUGCCCGAUCUCGUCUGAUCUCGGAAGCUAAGCAGGUUUGGGCCUGGUUAGUACUUGGAUGGGAGACCGCCUGGGAUUACCAGGUGCUGUAAGCUU